rnacentral:lncRNA from 1 species
UCCCUCUCUCUGUCGCGCGCGUGUGCCAGGCAGAAGCAGACAUGGUUUCGGGGAACGCCAGAGAAGAGGGAGACAGGGCCAGAUGGAGAUAGGAGCAGCAUGGAGUGUGUGUGUGUUUGUCUUUGUGUGUGGGUUGGUCUGUGUGUGUGUGUGUGUGGGGGGGUGUGUGUGUGUGUGUGUGUGUGGAUGUGUUGGUCUGUGUGUGGAUCUGUUGGUCUGUGUGUGUGUUCAAGCCCUGGUUGUGUUUUUGAGCAUGUAUGUUCCAAAGAGGGAGGAGCCCUAGACUGAAAUUAAACAGCAGAAACCAGCAAAAUGAAGUCAACUCCAAAGUGGGAGGAAUGUAUUUUCAGGCGUGUGUCUGUGCAUGCGUGUUUGUGACUGUGUGUAUACAUGUAUGUGUCUGUGCAUGUGUUUGUGUGUAUGUGCGUGCAUGCGUGCGUGUAUGUCUGUGCGUGUGAGUGUGUGUGCAUGUUUGCGUGCAUGCUUUUGUGUGUGUGUGAGUGUGUGUGUGUGUAUGUGUGCAUGCGUGCGUGUAUGUCUGUGCGUGUGUGUGUUUGUGUCUGUGAGUGAGUGUGUGCAUGCAUGCGUGUUUGUAUGUGGUGUGUGUUUGUGUGCGUGCAUCCGCUUGUGUGUGUGUGUUUGUGGAGUGGAGUGGAGCAGCAGAGGGACAAAGUCUGCCCCCUGCCUUCCAGCCAAGCCCCGGCAUUCUGGGAGAGGAGCUAUAAGCCACUGGAAAGAGCUUCAGUAAAGGAGGGAAGAGAGAAGAGGAGAGGAGGAGAGGAUACAAAGGAGUGAGAGAAGGAGCUGGGAGCUGGAGAUGAAUGGGAAGGUUGCAGGGAGAGCGGCCGGCGCCACCAGUAACGUCAAUGAUUCUAACUCCAACCAGACCAACAGGGGGUCCGACAUGGCCCCGGAAGCACAGCCGAACGCAAGGGUGAGUGGUGGACGGUAGAUUAAAUAGAAGUUUAUAGAAGAUGUUGAACAGGUGGAUUAUGGUUUAGGUUGAGGACUUGCAUACCACAGGGGUUGGGUUAGCGGUUGUCUGUCGGCUCCAGUGCGGGCUCCUUGUUUCCUCGGGUCUCGGCAGGCGCGUGAUUUGCGGGGGGGUUAGGGGGGUCAUGACCCCCCUAAUCUGAUUGUUAAUCAGAUUAACAAAAAUAAGAAAUAUUCUGAAUGAAUAACUUGUUUGUUUUCGUCAUUAAUUUAAUUACCCAGCAAGAUAGUAUCAUAUUUUAAUCAUCUGUAAUGUAACCCCCCCCCCCCUCCCCGCACGCCCACCGACUACUUGGUAUUACCCCACCCGUUUUCUCUACCAAAACGUACUAUUUCACUGUGUGUCACUGUGAUGAAUAGUUGGAGAAAGACAGGUUCAUGCUAACUGAAUGUGGAGAUGAAAAGUACACUGAAAGGCAGCCAGACAACAAUUUUUCAUUGUUGGUCGUCGUCACCAGCCAAAAGGAGUAAACAUCCUGACGAAAAGGAGUUAAAUACCCCUAUUGUUAUACCAUGGUCUGGGGGAAUGCUCAAUUCUGAUUGGCUGCAGGGUGUGCAUUAACCCGGAUAAUGCCCUUCGAGGUCCAUUAGUUCUGUCACUCAAUCCAUGUUUAUUUGAAUGGGAAAAAAUGUUACAAAUCGACUUUGACCCUCGGGAACGAAUAAUCAGAUAUUCUGACCCAUCCCUAGUAGAUAACUGAAUAUACUAGACAAAUGGGAACAUGUAGAUAGUGUACAUAGCUGAUAGUUGAGGGUUGUACCUGGGUCAAUGUGAGGUGUGCACCUGCCUGGGUGAGGGUUUAGAUGUUUUCCUGGGUCAAUGUGAGGUAUGUACUAUAGUCUGCUAGCAUUACUAUAGUUGCUGGCAGAAUAGACGUCAGUAUAGCAUCCUGUUUCUUUUAGUCAAAUACUUGGUAUGUGUGUUAAGUUGUAGCCUAAUAUAUUUACAGAUAGGCCUUCUUUUGUAUUUACAUGCUUUUGUUUAGAUUUUGUUAGUUUGAACUGGUGAUGCCCACCAAUAUGUGAAAUCAGUUUGCCAUGUUCAGAACAGAGGUGCAAGCUGCCCUCCAGUGUGCCAACCUGUAUUGUGUGAUGCAUUGAUAGUUCAAUUGUGCAUAAUACAUUUGCUGUAUGUAGGUGCCAAGACAGUGAUGCAAGUGAUUCAUCUUUAAGUUCUUGCGAUUUCUUUCAUUAGAUAGUGAACACACACACAAAAUCAAUUAAGUGGAAGCUGCCACUGCUGGCUAGUGCUUAAACACUUAAUUUAACUACUGUGUCAUUAUGGCAUAUAUAUUCAAAAAGUAGCCAAAAUCAGUAAAAUUAUCGCAAUGUAUUUCUAAUACAAGAACAGAUAAUUGGCAUCUUAC